rnacentral:rRNA from 1 species
AGCGAACGCUGGCGGCAUGCCUAACACAUGCAAGUCGAACGAGACCUUCGGGUCUAGUGGCGCACGGGUGCGUAACGCGUGGGAACCUGCCCUUAGGUUCGGAAUAACUCCCCGAAAGGGGUGCUAAUACCGGAUAAUGUCUUCGGACCAAAGAUUUAUCGCCUUUGGAUGGGCCCGCGUUGGAUUAGCUAGUUGGUAGGGUAAAAGCCUACCAAGGCGACGAUCCAUAGCUGGUCUGAGAGGAUGAUCAGCCACACUGGGACUGAGACACGGCCCAGACUCCUACGGGAAGCAGCAGUGGGGAAUAUUGGACAAUGGGCGAAAGCCUGAUCCAGCAAUGCCGCGUGAGUGAUGAAGGCCUUAGGGUUGUAAAGCUCUUUUACCCGGGAUGAUAAUGACAGUACCGGGAGAACAAGCUCCGGCUAACUCCGUG